UACGUAGGGUGCGAGCGUUAAUCGGAAUUACUGGGCGUAAAGCGUGCGUAGGCGGUUCGUUAAGUUCGUUGUGAAAGCCCCGGGCUCAACCUGGGAAUGGCAAUGGAAACUGGCGGGCUGGAGUAUGGCAGAGGGGGGUGGAAUUCCGCGUGUAGCAGUGAAAUGCGUAGAGAUCGGGAGGAACACCAGAGGCGAAGGCGGCGACCCGGACAGGCACUGACACUCAACUGCGAAAGCGUGGGGAGCAAACAGG
rnacentral:rRNA from 1 species